UGUUCCAGUAUCCCAAUUGGCAGAGGAUGCAAGCUCAAACCUUGUACUAGUGACGGUUCGAAUCCGUCUUGGAACACCAA
rnacentral:tRNA from 1 species